ACUCAACAUCUGGGCCCACUCAGAGUCAGAUUAUAUCAACUGCUUUUUUUCCUAAAUAUGGAUCAUGGUUUCCUGUUUACCUGUCUUAUAAUUUUUUUUGUUGAAUACUGGACAUUUCAGAUGAUCUAUGUCUGGAUUCUGAGUUGUUUUCCUGAGUCUUGUGUUCUGUUUGUUUUAGUUAAGUUGUUUGGACUUAAACUGCAAAACUUGCCCACCCACCCCUGCAGCCUCUGAUAUCUCUGCUCAGAUUUUUAAAUUCUUUUUUUUUUUUUUUUGAGAUGG
rnacentral:lncRNA from 1 species